UCAAGCUGUAAAGGGCGCAAGGGGAAUGCCUUGGCACUGAGAGCCGACGAAGGACGCGACAAGCUGCGAUAAGCUACGGGGAGCCGCAAAUGGGCUUUGAUCCGUAGAUUUCCGAAUGGGGAAACCCGGCAGAGCAAUACUCUGUCAACGUGCACUGAAUACAUAGGUGUACGUGGGGAACCGCCUGAACUGAAACAUCUAAGUAGGGCGAGGAAGAGAAAUCAACCGAGAUUCCGCUAGUAGUGGCGAGCGAACGCGGAAGAGGCCAAACCGAAGGUAGCAAUAUCUUCGGGGUUAGGACUGCAAUAUGUAACUUUAAUCUUUAACUGAAUGCUUUGGGAAGAGCAGCGAAACAGGGUGAUAGCCCCGUAAGUGAAAAGGAUUGAGUGCUAGCAGUAUCCAGAGUACCAGCGGACACGUGAAACCCGCUGGGAAGAUGGGGGGACCAUCCUCCAAGCCUAAAUACUACUCAGUGACCGAUAGUGGAGCAGUACCGUGAGGGAAAGGUGAAAAGUACCCCGGGAGGGGAGUGAAAAAGAACCUGAAACCUUGUGCCUACAAGCACCGAGAGCACGUUAAAGUGUGAUCGGGUACUUUUUGUAGAACGGUCCGGCGAGUUAAUAUUUGCAGCGAGGUUAAGUAACUGGAGUUACGGAGCCGCAGCGAGAGCGAGUCUGAAUAGGGCGUAUGAAGUUGCAGGUAUUAGACCCGAAACCGGGUGACCUAUCCAUGAGCAGGCUGAAGCGGUGGUAAGACACCGUGGAGGGCCGCACCCACGUCUGUUGAAAAAGCCGGGGAUGACUUGUGGAUAGCGGAGAAAUUCCAAUCGAACUCGGAGAUAGCUGGUUCUCCCCGAAAUAGCUUUAGGGCUAGCGUUAUUUUAGAUUACCGGAGGUAAAGCACUGAAUGGUCUAGGGGCCGCGAGGUUACCAAAGCCUAUCAAACUCUGAAUGCCGGAUAAUUGAUGAAUAGCAGUCAGACUGUGUGAGAUAAGUCUCAUAGUCAAAAGGGAAACAGCCCAGAUCUACAGCUAAGGUCCCAAAUGAACACUAAGUGGAAAAUGAUGUGAAACUGCGAAGACAACCAGGAUGUUGGCUUAGAAGCAGCCACUCAUUCAAAGAGUGCGUAAUAGCUCACUGGUCGAGUGGUUUUGCGCAGAAAAUGUAACGGGGCUAAGUGUUCAACCGAAGCUUAGGCAUUGUACUUUGUACAUUGGGUAGGGGAGCGUCGUAUGCGGGGCGAAGUCAGAGCGGAAGCACUGGUGGACUGCAUACGAGUGAGAAUGCCGGAAUAAGUAGCGAGAAUUAUGUGAGAAUCAUAAUGGCCGAAAAUCUAAGGUUUCCUGGGGAAGGUUCGUCCGCCCAGGGUUAGUCGGGAGCUAAGCUCAGGCCGAGAGGCGUAGGCGAUGCACAUACGGUAGAAAUUCCGUAACCACCGAACUUUAAGCUAGAGGGACGCUUUCUUUAAGGUUAUCCCGGGCGAUGGUUGCCCCGGGCGUAAGGGACCGAAAUUUAGUAGGGAAGUAACUGGCGAGAGAGACGAGAAAAGCUCUAGUGUAUACUAAGGUGCCCGUACCGCAAACCGACACAGGUAGAUGGGAUGAGUAUUCUAAGGCCAACGGGAGAAGGGUUGUUAAGGAACUCGGCAAAUUGGCCCCGUAACUUCGGGAUAAGGGGCGCCUGCGAGAGCAGGCCGCAGUGAAAAGGCCCAAGCGACUGUUUAGCAAAAACACAGCUCUCUGCUAAAUCGAAAGAUGACGUAUAGGGGGUGACGCCUGCCCGGUGCUGGAAGGUUAAGGGGAGUGCUUAGCGCAAGCGAAGGUGCGAACUUAAGCCCCAGUAAACGGCGGCCGUAACUAUAACGGUCCUAAGGUAGCGAAAUUCCUUGUCAGGUAAGUUCUG
rnacentral:rRNA from 1 species